UUUGCAGCAUGUACCUCUCCAUAGGGCAGGAAACACAUGGCAGCUGGGUUCAGCACAGCAAGCAAGAGAGAACCAGAAUGUGUAAGAAAAUGCUAGCAAGGGAUGAACAGCCACAGCACCACGCACUGCUGAAUCCAAUGUCCAGGACACCUUCACUUAAGGGAGAGAAGUGAAUCCCCCUCUGACCAAGGAACUUAGAAAACUAUCAGAUAUCUGGAAGUGAAGUAAAGCUUAUGAAGAAAAAAGCAGUGUGGAACUGCAGUGAUUUAAAAGAAACAAGAUGGGACCCAUACACUCAGCAUUAAAAAUUUAAUGUUUUAAUUUAAAAAGAUGUCUAUCGAAAAACCAAA